rnacentral:lncRNA from 1 species
GUGAGGUCAGCGGCCGUGAGGUCACUCCAGGAGGUGCCUACAGGACCUGCAGGACCUGCUCGUUCACAGAUGUUCUCCUAGAAGCAGAAGCUGUUUCUUGUUGCAAACAAAUUUGCUGUGUCCUGUCUUAGGAGUCUCACCUGAAUUUACCAAGGAUGCAUCUGUGCUUGGGGAUGGCUCGGUUUGAGGGGUCUGAGGAGCGGCUCCCCUGGAUCCUUUCCUCCCCAGGAGCCCACCUGCCGAGCUGUCAGCGUCAGCCCCACAUCUCAAGAUGAGGAAAUGGAGCCCGUGCCAGCUCGCUGGGAGGAGGACGAGGACGCCUGUGAUCACAUGCUCUGGUCUGGAGGCACGGCCGCGGGCCCCGGGUCAGUGUGAAUCCGCGGGGUUACUCCUCAGUCGGAUCUGAGCUCUGAAACCCAGACCCGAGGAAGACAAGCGGCCACGUCGGAUGUACCAGUGGUGGAAGAUCCUGUCCGGCUGCACCGAGGCUCACAUCAGAAGCCGGCUUCGGUUUCACCACAAAAUAAGGCAUCUAGUGCCCGAUUCUGCCUCCAAAGCAGCCCUGGGUCACACUCGCUGUAGGACAGAUGUUAUUCUUCAGAAUCACGCCCUCUGGCAAAUGCCCAUCAUCGGACAAAUGGACGGAUGAAGUGUGACUCAGCCAUGAGAAGGGGGAUGCUCUGAGCCGCGCGGCCACACCACCAACCCGGAGGACACGGUGCUGCGAGAAAAAGCCAGCCAGGAGUUCAGAAGUAACAGGGCAAAUAGGGAAAGUCCUUCCUGGCCUGUCUACAUACCCCUGCAGCCCUCCCGGUCCUAGGGUGACUGCUGACGGAGAGGGCACUCCCUUCCCGAGUCUUCUCUGCACGUCCGUGGGCACGCACAGCUGAGCGGCACACAGCAGCCCGGCUCGCUCCUCCGCACUGGGGACACAAGAUUUCACUGCACCUCACCCAGCCCUUUCCACAGAGCAGUUCAUCUUGGAGACUCUUCCCCUCGAAGGGUCUAAAGGCCAGUCUCCGUGUCCUGGUGUUUGUUGUCGGGGAGGAUGCAACAUCGGGGGAAGGAAGUAAUCAUGUCUGGUGGCAGCUGGCACUGGCAGGCAGCGGGCACUCGAAGCCUGCACCUCGCACCUGUCCCUCUGGGGCCUCGGCUAUCCCUCCGCACGACGGGCAUGAAGCCCCCUCCUGCCUCCACUGCUCGGAUGAAAGGAGCUCGUAGAUGACGGAGUUGAUGACAUAGGAAUCAUUCUGGACUUGCAUCUCCACAUCGUAGCUGUGACUGUUUGCCACAGCGAGGAAGAUCCUCUCCCCGAUCUGGAAGACCUCCCAGUCUGCAGCACCGAACGUCUAGGACCAAAGGAGAGCAGGCCCCAGUGCUGUGCGUCCUACGAGCACCACCUGCUGUCUCACCUCUUCCAGGAAGCCCACCCUGAUCCCUCUAGUCCCAGCCUCAGACACUGAAGCAACAUCAGGCGGAUGUCACCCACCCCUUGGGACUUCGCCAUGGGUCGCUAGCCCAGACCCUCCCCUUGGUUCCGGUGGUUCCAUUUCUGCCCCUUUGCUGCUGGCCCCCUUCUGAGGAUGCCCGUGCAUCUCCAGGACCACUGCUCCAGUCCUUGGUGUAGAUCAAAGCUGGCCUUCACACGCGGCCUGAAAAUGUAGAGUGGCCGCCUUCUGGGCUGGGCUGCCACCUCCACCACAUCACCCGUGACAGAAGCCCCGUGUUUUUCGGUAACCACGUUCCACGAACACCUCCCGACUGCCUUCCAGAACACACAAAGAUCAACGAAGCUCAGAAUCCAGUCCCGACGUCAUUUCAUGAAGAGCAGGUAGUCCAUCAAAGGGAUGGGCCCCAUGAGUGAAGGGCUGAGACCCCACCAUGGUGUGAGGCGUCCCAGGCACUCCCGUCACGGCCCAAACCAGGCUGCAGGCUCCAUCCCCAUGGGGCAGGCACAGAGGAGGCGAUUCAUGUGGACACAGGGACACCUGUGGACGCCCUGGCUCGGCCGCUUACCGCCGUGUGUUUGUGGCCAGGUCCCUGCUCCUGAGCCUCAGUUUCCACACCUGUGAGAUGGGUCUGAGGUGGAAUCGCCAACCAGCUGAGGAUGCGCAGCCACAGACCACCUUCCAGAAAUCUCCAAAAGGCUUUCCAAAACAGGAAAACAAGGAAGGCUGCCAUCAGCAGGAAUUCCAGGGCUUUCAGAAUGAGGCUGUCAGGAGUGAAGGGAGCUGUGCUCCACAUGCAGGGCAGUGGCCAGGGCUGCCAGGCCUUGUUUAUCUGGGAGCGCCAGGCUGCCUGCCUGCACCUGGUCUGGGCACCUGAAGGCAGAGCUGCUCCUGCUUAGGGUCUGUGGCAACUGUCCUCCUCAGUGGGUGCUGCUGGGAGCUCCUCUGAUUCCUGGUGGGCGGCUUCUGGCCUCGCCUCUUCACCCACGGUGUAGGGUGUGGGAUGGAGAUGCAGGGCCUCUGCUCUCCUUCUCCCCUCCCCCAAGCAGCCUGGGUUGUACCUCCACUAAUAAACACCAACACCCGCGCCCAGGGUGGGUUCGGC